GACAAUUGCUUGGGGUGCUUCUCAACUGUGUGGUUGGUUUAGUUAUUUCGCUGUUUGCGGCCAUAUUGCUUUUAUGAGCUAUAAUACUCAACCGCGAAGGUUUGCGAAGCUUCACUCAUGUAAGCCAGCGAAACCACGAACCUGUCGGGAGGAACGAACAAUUUUAGACGCGCCGCCUUAAGAGCUGUAACACCGCGAAAGUCCGCAACUUCAUUCCUGAGCCAGCGAGACCAGGAACCCACCAGAAAGAAAAAAACUCUGAACACAUCGGAAUAUCAGAAGGAACAAACUCCAGACACGCCGCCUUUAACAACUGUAACACUCACAGCGAGUGUCCGCACUUCAUUCUUGAAGUUAGUAAGACCAAGAACCCACCACUUCCGGACACAAAAGUACGGGGAUUACAGGAUUCUUCAGCUAUUUGGCAAAGAUGAAGACAUAAGUUCCCGGUUCACAACCAUUUUCUCCAUUUUACAGAGGGAGAGACGUAAGGCAGAAGAAGAUUACAUGUACGAGCUGACAGCAUAAUUCACUGGCAGAAUUCCAAAAAGAUGUUAUCAGUCCAAAAGAAAAUGAUUCUGGGGAGCCAUCUGUUCUCCAGCUGCAGAGAUGUUUCUCUAAAGUGCAAUAAGUAUUGUUGAAACCAUUUUUACUGUAGCGGAAGUCAAUCACAGUCCGGAUUCAGAUGGGAGCUGGUUUAAGCAUUCAGAUGAAGAGACACUUCGUCAUUUCUACCAUUGAGUCAACUUUAUGACCUAUCUACAACUUUGGCAUUUGCAAACUCAGGUUAAGCAGGGAUGGUUAGAGUUUAUUUGAUCUUUUAUAUUAUAAAACUUAUGCAAUGAGUCCAAAAAAGAUGGAUUACUUUGAGUAGGUAAAAUAGUUAUAUUUGUUAAAGUGACCAAGGAUAAAUAAAAACAUAGCAAACCAGAUCCAAUUCUCAAAUAUUUUGAUCUGGCUCAUAUCUAGGCAACCAGAGUUGGGCACUCGUCUAAUGAUGAUGCAGUUGAGCUUAGAUGGGAGAGUGGUGGGGCAUGGGUAGAGAGGUACACAUGCUGGAGAUGAGACACGAAUGGCAGAAUGUAGAGAACUGUUAAAACUGGGUGAUGGGUAUCUGAGGGUUCAUUGUAUUAUUCUAUUUACUUUAAAUAUGUUUGACGUUUUCUAGAAUAAGAAAUGGCUUAAUACAACAAGUUGCUAACCAACUUUUAAAAAGGCAUAUUAUCUUCCUUCUAUGACUUGUUAUCAUUGGGUGAUUCCAUUGUUAGGAUAAUAAUAAAGCCUUCUACCCUAU